UUUAACUCCACAUUCUCCUCAUUUGUUCUUUCUAGUUUCUGUGGAUUUCGGUGGACGUACCGUGAGCAGCGGACAGGUGGAGCAGCAGGAGCCCGAGGGACACUCGGUGAAACCAAAACAUGGCCCCGGGUGGUGGUGAUGGGUCUGGAGUCGGAAGUGUUGCAGGUGUUGUUGAACCCGGUUGCGGCACUUCAAAGAUGUCUGCCGGCAAGGAGACGCUUUAUGCUUCUUUAUCAAAUCUUCUUUAUCAACGGAAAAAAAGAUUGAAGGAGCGUUCAUGCAGGGUUUGGGUCUCUACACUCUGGAAGAGUUGAAGUUUUCCCCCUCGGGGCUCUUGUACACUCGAGGUCCAUCUCAGUAUAAGAUCCCUGCGGUGUGCGACGUGCCACUCGGAUUCAUCGUCUAUCUGCUGUCAGAUUUCCACAACCCCCAUGCUGUCUACUCUUCAAAGGGUAUUGGAGAACCCGUCCUCUUCCUGGGCAGUUCAGUGUUCUUCGCCAUCAAAGAUGCUGUGGCUGAUGUUCUGACUCAAUUCCAGGCAGCAAACCAGGAUCUUUUAAACUGUGUACAAAUUGAAAUUCUGUGUGUUUUCCUUUCUUCAGUGUUCAAAUUAAAUCUAAUCUGACUGUGAACUAAUUUGAACUAACAAUAAUUAACUAAUACAGUUAUUUUACUCAACCAUUCAAGGAUUCAAGGGGUUUAUUGUCAUUUCUAUUACACAUUUACAUGUGAAUAAAAAGGAAAUAGAUACUAAUCCUUUAUGAACUAUUUUUAAAGGUUAAUUUAAAUAAAACAUUUUACUGACACCAUAUUGAACAUCUGUUCUCAUUCUGUACCAUGUAAAUGUGAAAUAAAUAC